rnacentral:rRNA from 1 species
GACGAACGCUGGCGGCGUGCCUAACACAUGCAAGUCGAGCGGAGAUAUUUGGGAAGCUUGCUUUUUGGAUAUCUUAGCGGCGGACGGGUGAGUAACGCGUGAGUAACCUGGCCUAUACAGGGGGAUAACAGCUGGAAACGGCUGCUAAUACCGCAUAAGACCACAGUAUCACAUGGUACAGGGGUCAAAGAUUUAUCGGUAUAGGAUGGACUCGCGUCCCAUUAGCUAGUUGGCGGGAUAACAGCCCACCAAGGCGACGAUGGGUAGCCGACCUGAGAGGGUGAUCGGCCACACUGGGACUGAGACACGGGCCCAGACUCCUACGGGAGGCAGCAGUGGGGAAUAUUGGGCAAUGGGCGCAAGCCUGACCCAGCAACGCCGCGUGAAGGAGAAGGUCUUCGGGAUUGUAAACUUUUGUCGCCGGGAACGAUGAUGACGGUACCCGGGCAAGAAA